AUUGAACGCUGGCGGCAUGCUUUACACAUGCAAGUCGAACGGUAACAGGCCGCAGGGUGCUGACGAGUGGCGAACGGGUGAGUAAUGCAUCGGAACGUGCCCAGUCGUAGGGGAUAACGCAGCGAAAGCUGUGCUAAUACCGCAUACGAUCUAUGGAUGAAAGCGGGGGACCGUAAGGCCUCGCGCGAUUGGAGCGGCCGAUGUCAGAUUAGGUAGUUGGUGGGGGAAAGGCUCACCAAGCCAACGAUCUGUAGCUGGUCUGAGAGGACGACCAGCCACAGUGGAACUGAGACACGGCCCAGACUCCUACGGGAGGCAGCAGGGGGGAAUUUUGGACAAUGGGCGCAAGCCUGAUCCAGCAAUGCCGCGUGCAGGAAGAAGGCCUUCGGGUUGUAAACUGCUUUGGUACGGAACGAAAAGGUUUGGGUUAAUACCCUGGGCCGAUGACGGUACCGUAAGAAUAAGCACCGGCUAACUACGUGCCAGCAGCCGCCGUAA
rnacentral:rRNA from 1 species